rnacentral:rRNA from 1 species
AUUGAACGCUGGCGGAAUGCUUUACACAUGCAAGUCGAGCGGCAACGCGGGGGCAACCCUGGCGGCGAGCGGCGAACGGGUGAGUAACAUAUCGGAACGUACCCUGUCGUGUGGGAUAACACAGCGAAAGCUGUGCUAAUACCGCAUACGACCUGAGGGUGAAAGCGGGGGAUCGCAAGACCUCGCGCGAUAGGAGCGGCCGAUAUCGGAUUAGCUUGUUGGUGAGGUAAAGGCUCACCAAGGCGACGAUCCGUAGCUGGUCUGAGAGGACGACCAGCCACACUGGAACGAAGACAGGGUCCAGACUCCUACGGGAGGCAGCAGUGGGGAAUUUUGGACAAUGGGGGCAACCCUGAUCCAGCCAUGCCGCGUGAGUGAAGAAGGCCUUCGGGUUGUAAAGCUCUUUCGGCCGGAGAGAAAGCCUGAGCUCUAACAUAGCUUGGGGUUGACGGUACCGGCAGAAGAAGCACCGGCUAACUACGUGCCAGCAGCCGCCGUAAGAC